rnacentral:tRNA from 1 species
AAAAGGUUCAAGUUCC